CAGGAGCUAUUUAGAAGUGGCCACCUGGGCUUGGUCCCCUGGCCACAGCACUGACCAGUCCUCUCACUUCUCCAGAAGCAGUGGCCCAUCUUGCCCCCAGGUUGCAGAGGCCACCAGGAGCCAGAAGAAUGGAGAAUUCAAGAGUCCCUGGGCUUCUGGGGAACCCCGGCAUGACCAGCACGAUGGGGAGGAGUCCCUCGGCCAGAAGGGGCAGGUCUCUCAGCAGCUGUCUGGGCCUCAUUGUAGAUCCUGAACCUGCCAAAAAGCCACUUGAAGAGGAGGAGGAGGAGGAAGAGGAGGAGGAAGAAGAGGAACAUGGAGGAGAAGGAGGAUGGAGAUGCUUUUGUCUUGGCCUUACUUGUCUGUCAGGUAAUGGCAGAUCUCAGCCCUCUGACCCAUGCUGGAUUUGACCUUGGAAUUAGAUUCUGCCUACCAACUCUGUUGUAUUGUACUCUCCCAAGCACUUAAUACACUAUUCGGUCUACAGUAAGUGCUCAGAAAAUACCAAUGAUUGAUUCACCACUGACUGAAUUAAACAGUUCCACUCCCAUAGUAACACAGCUGUCACAGGUAGUGGUAAUCUUAAAGGGGAGGCAGUUGAAAUGCUAAGAAUGAAGGGAAGGUGACAUUUUUCUGAUAUUUUCCCCUAUGGGAUCCAGUGUCCAGUACAUAACCUAGUACUGAAACUAUCUUUUAAUGAGUCAUCAAAUAAUAAUAAUAAUAAAAACAUUUAUGAGGCA